AGUUUGGCUUCAAUAACUUAUUUGGCUUAUAAAUUUCAUGUGUAACUGGGAAUAGUAAGAAGAAUUGGCUGAAAACCAUUAUGAAAUAGAAAUGUUUCACUGUAUUUGAUAUAUUUAACAUGAGCAUGUCUUGGAAGAAAAGUUGUGUCAAUUGUACAUAGUAUGUAUGUGUUUAUGUAUUACAGCUAAGUAUGGAAGCUAUACAUUGAUCGAUGUGGACACACAUCAAGUUUUGGACAUCCAGUUGGUGCAGUCAAAUGAAGUGGCCAAUUCGAAUGCCAUGGAACUUGAAGGAUUGAAAAGGGGCCUUGCACAUCUUGAGAAUGCCAGAGUAAAUGUUUCAGACAUAAUAACAGACCGACACAUUCAAGUAAAAGCCUAUAUAAAGAGGGAGAAAGGUGGCAUUAAACAUUGGUUUGAUGGAUGGCAUGUUGCUAAAGACAGGUUGAAAUAGUCCCAAAUGACGUCAUCAUCGAACACCUGGCUGACCUCAUUUCACAGGGGUGUCAAUGACCUUGUACUGAGCUGACCUUGGGAUAAACAACUUUCCCAAACGUAUUUUUAGACUCGAGUGGGCAAUAUAACGCACCCGAACAGUCCCCGUGUCAUUCAGUCGCCAGAGAGAACGCACGCAUGCUCUUAACUCUGUUGGUUCUGGUAGCCGUUUACCUCGAAGAUAGAAAAUGGAAGCCUCGCACCGUGAUAUCCGGAGGAAGAAUCGCUCCGACCUCGUGUUAGCUAUACAGCGUGUAAAAGAGGUGGUCGACAAACUGGUACAGUUUGAAGUCCUUACCAUCUUCAUGAAGGCAGAGAUUAUCGACAAACCAACAACCUCCUUUGACCGGGUCAGAGCUUUAUUAGAUACCCUUCCCCGACGAGGACCCCAAGCUUACACCCUCUUCUGUAAAGCUUUGGAGGAAUGCGGAGAAUACAAGCCAUGACAUUGCUGGGACUAGAGACAGACAAGACAGAGUAUCCUCAUGGUCAUGAUGAGCUAGGUGGGUACCUAUGUAUGGACAGUAUCCCUCCCAAACCUCAAACACGGUUCCAAGAACGGCUGAAUUCUUUUCAGUCUUGGCCUGUGCAGAUGAAACAGAGUCCUAGUCAAAUGGCCGGGCAGGAUUUGUGUACUUAAUCAGAGGAGACGGUUGCAAGUGUGUUCAAUGUGGUGUUGUUCUCAAGAACCGGGAUGUAGAGGAUGAUCCUUGGGUCAAACAUAAAAAAUGGUAUCCAAACUGUCCAUAUUUGGCCCUGGUAGUAGUACCUCAGAAAGAGGUGGUCCGCUGGGGUAGUCAAGUAGAUUGACAUGGGUAAGAGUGUGAUGUCCAUUAUGUCCAUUGUACAGUACUGUGUGUAUUUGCGACUAUUUGAGAAUAAAUCCAUAUUGGUUGUCAUUGGUUGAUGUGAUGUAUAAAAUUGAGAUCCGUUGUUUUCUCGCAGAGCUAUGACAUUUGUAUGUUGUAGACAGGUUGAAAUAGUCCCAAAUGACGUCUUCAUCGAACACCUGGCUGACCUCAUUUCAAAGCGGUGUCAAUGACCUUGUACUGAGCUGGCGUCCAAAGAAAGAGUACAAGUAAAGGCAGCCAC